AACGAACGCUGGCGGCAGGCUUAACACAUGCAAGUCGAACGCUCCGCAAGGAGAGUGGCAGACGGGUGAGUAACACGUGGGAACGUACCCUUUACUACGGAACAACUCCGGGAAACUGGAGCUAAUACCGUAUGUGCCCUUCGGGGGAAAGAUUUAUCGGUAAAGGAUCGGCCCGCGUUGGAUUAGCUAGUUGGUGGGGUAAAGGCCUACCAAGGCGACGAUCCAUAGCUGGUCUGAGAGGAUGAUCAGCCACCUUGGGACUGAGACACGGCCCAAACUCCUACGGGAGGAAGCAGUGGGGAAUAUCGGACAAUGGGCGCAAGCCUGAUCCAGCCAUGCCGCGUGUGUGAUGAAGGCCUUAGGGUUGUAAAGCACUUUCACCGGAGAAGAUAAUGACGGUAUCCGGAGAAGAAGCCCCGGCUAACUUCGUGCCAGCAGCCGCCGUAA
rnacentral:rRNA from 1 species